rnacentral:lncRNA from 1 species
CCACGUUUCUCCAAAGCCUCUUGAAUCAGCUCGAGCCUGCUUACCUGCUUACCGCUUUGGACUUUCUUGAUUCAGAUUGCUCACCUGGUCUCAGCCCUGCCCACCCGGCCCUGCUUCUGCGCUCCUGCAAUCUGGACCUGUUUGACCCACAUCCUCUCUCCUGAUCCAAUGUCCCGGUUCCGACCCGCCCAGCCCCAGCAACUCUGGCCUCCAAGCAGAUCGCUCAUUGCCCCAGGCCCAGGACUCACUUCCACCAGCUGUGGAUCAUGGCCAGAUAUGAAGAGGAAAUGGAUCUCGUUUUUGGUGAGAAAGCCUUGUAUGCUAUAUUUCCUUAGCUGACACAGUGUGUCAAUGAUUGUAAGCUAUAUUUUAAUUUUUUAAACUUUUAUUAUUAUAUUUUCUUGCAUGUGCAAUAUACUAUUUGUUUUUUAUUUUUACUCUCCUUUUUAUAUUUGAAGCACAUGUCACCAGUAUUAAGAUUUUCUUUAACUUUUUUGAUUUAGCAGUAAUAUAAGUUUAAAAUACAUUUGCUAUAAUGUCAAUGCAUGCCCCAAAAGCUUGAGACUAUAAAAAUGAUGCCACUAAUUGUUUAAAAAAAUUAUGGGACUUUGCUUAAUGAUUCUGUCUGAUUCCAGGACAAGAUAUACAAAAGAGCCAUUUCACAGGGCCAAAGAAGCAAAGCUAAACCUGAGUUGUGCCAAAAGAACACACAGGUCAACAAAUCCAGGAAGGAUUGAUGCACUUCUAAGCCAAUACAAAGGACUUGAACCUAGUGUGAAGACUCAAGGUUGUGAAGCUUAACAUAUGUUAAGAGAAACUGAAUUGUUUGGAGAAGACACCAUGAAGAUGCCUCAAGACCAAAGGCUGCACGAGAAGAUCAAGAAGGAACUUUGGGUGUGGUUGAUUGAACAUUUAUUUGUAUGUAUACUUUCAUGCCAAAGGGGACUGCCCCCUAACUUGCUUUUUGUCAAUGCGUCUAGCAAUUACUGGUUUUAUUCUUUUCCUCUUAUCCUCAAAUUAUUGUAAUCUUUAAGCUGAUUAUGUUUGCAUGAUCCUUUUUGGGGAAAUUUUUCCCAAUAACGAUCAAAUGGGGAUUGUAAAAAUGGAGAUUUGAACCCCAGACUUCAAUCCCCAGAAGUCCUUGGCAGUUCCCAGAAUUCCCAUGAAUCCCCACCUGGGCCAAAAUCACAAUUUGUAUUUAAACUGAUUGUAAUGCUUACUUCGGUCUCUUCCUGUACUUGGAGAUUGCAAGGAUGUAGUGAGUAGACUAAGUGCUGGGGGUUCUGAAUUUGGCUUUCAGCCAUGGGCAUGUGGUUUAUUAUUUUGUAUCCUUGAUUUUUUUUAAUAUUAUUUUAUUUGGUCAUUUCCAAACAUUAUUCAUUUGAGACAAAGAUCAUUUUCUUUUCCUCCC